AUUGAACGCUGGCGGCAUGCUUUACACAUGCAAGUCGAACGGUAACAGGCCGCAAGGUGCUGACGAGUGGCGAACGGGUGAGUAAUGCAUCGGAACGUGCCCAGUCGUGGGGGAUAACGCAGCGAAAGCUGCGCUAAUACCACAUACGAUCUGUGGAUGAAAGCGGGGGACCGUAAGGCCUCGCGCGAUUGGAGCGGCCGAUGUCAGAUUAGGUAGUUGGUGGGGUAAAGGCUCACCAAGCCAACGAUCUGUAGCUGGUCUGAGAGGACGACCAGCCACACUGGGACUGAGACACGGCCCAGACUCAUACGGGAGGCAGCAGUGGGGAAUUUUGGGCAAUGGGCGCAAGCCUGAUCCAGCAAUGCCGCGUGCAGGAAGAAGGCCUUCGGGUUGUAAACUGCUUUUGUACGGAACGAAACGGUCCUGGUUAAUACCUGGGGCUAAUGACGGUACCGUAAGAAUAAGCACCGGCUAACUACGUGCCAGCAGCCGCGGUAAAAC
rnacentral:rRNA from 1 species